rnacentral:rRNA from 1 species
CCUACGGGUGGCAGCAGUGGGGGAUAUUGCACAAUGGGGGAAACCCUGAUGCAGCGACGCCGCGUGUGGGAAGACGGUCCUCUGGAUUGUAAACCACUGUCUCCAGGGACGAAGAUGACGGUACCUGGUGAGGAAGCUCCGGCAAACCACGUGCCAGCAGCCGCGGCAAUACGCAGGGAGCGAGCGUUGUCCGGAAUUACUGGGUGAAAAGGGAGCGUAGGCGGGGAUGCAAGUUGGGUGUCAAACCUACCGGGUCAACUGGUAGUCGCACUCAAAACUGCAGCUCUUGAGUGAAGUAGAGGCAGGCGGAAUUCCAAGUGUAGCGGUGAAAUGCGUAGAUAUUAGGAGGAACACCAGUGGCGAAGGCGACCUGCUGGGCUUUUACUGACGCUGAGGCUCGAAAGUGUGGGGAGCAAACAGGAUUAGAUACCCCUGUAGUC